rnacentral:rRNA from 1 species
UACAGAGGGGGCAAGCGUUAUUCGGAAUUAUUGGGCGUAAAGGGCGCGUAGGCGGCCUGGCAAGUGGAAGGUGAAAUCCCUCGGCUUAACCGAGGAACUGCCUCCCAAACUGCUUGGCUUGAGACCAGGAGAGGUGAGUGGAAUUCCCAGUGUAGCGGUGAAAUGCGUAGAUAUUGGGAGGAACACCAGCGGCGAAGGCGGCUCACUGGACUGGUACUGACGCUGAGACGCGAAAGCGUGGGGAGCGAACAGG